UGGGGAAUAUUGCACAAUGGGCGCAAGCCUGAUGCAGCCAUGCCGCGUGUGUGAAGAAGGCCUUCGGGUUGUAAAGCACUUUCAGCGGGGAGGAAGGGAGUAAAGUUAAUACCUUUGCUCAUUGACGUUACCCGCAGAAGAAGCACCGGCUAACUCCGUGCCAGCAGCCGCGGUAAUACGGAGGGUGCAAGCGUUAAUCGGAAUUACUGGGCGUAAAGCGCACGCAGGCGGUUUGUUAAGUCAGAUGUGAAAUCCUCGGGUUCAACCUGGGAACUGCAUCUGAUACUGGCAAGCUUGAGUCUCGUAGAGGGGGGUAGAAUUCCAGGUGUAGCGGUGAAAUGCGUAGAGAUCUGGAGGAAUACCGGUGGCGAAGGCGGCCCCCUGGACGAAGACUGACGCUCAGGUGCGAAAGCGUGGGGAGCAAACAGG
rnacentral:rRNA from 1 species